rnacentral:rRNA from 1 species
GAUGAACGCUAGCGGCAGGAUUAAUACAUGCAAGUCGAGGGGUAGCAAGAUUGUAGCAAUACAAUUGUUGACGACCGGCAAACGGGUGCGGAACACGUACACAACCUUCCUACAAGUGGGGAAUAGCCCAGAGAAAUUUGGAUUAAUACCCCGUAACAUAGCGAUGUGGCAUCACAUUGCUAUUAUAGCUUCGGCGCUUGUUGAUGGGUGUGCGUCUGAUUAGAUAGUUGGCGGGGUAACGGCCCACCAAGUCUACGAUCAGUAGCUGAUGUGAGAGCAUGAUCAGCCACACGGGCACUGAGACACGGGCCCGACUCCUACGGGAGGCAGCAGUAAGGAAUAUUGGGCAAUGGACGCAAGUCUGAUCCAGCCAUGCCGCGUGAAGGAUUAAGGUCCUCUGGAUUGUAAACUUCUUUUAUAAGGGACGAAAAAAGGUCUUUCUAGAUCGUCUGACGGUACCUUAUGAAUAAGCACCGGCUAACUCCGUGCCAGCCGCCGCCGUAAAAC